rnacentral:rRNA from 1 species
AAGCGAGGAAUGGUGGGUAGGGAAUCCACCAGCCCGUAAAUCCAAGUUCCAGGGAGUUCGUCCGCCCUGUUAGUCAGGACCUAAGCCGAGGCGAAAGGCGUAGGUGAUGGACAACAGUGAUAUCCCUGUACCAUCAAUAACCGUUUGAGGAAAUGGGAUGACACCAGUAGGAUAAGCUAACCGCACUGUUGGUUAUGUGCGGGCAAGUAUUGAGGCAGUCCGAUAGGCAAAUCCGUCGGAAUAAUGCUGGGGUACGAUGCGGAGCGAAAUUAGUAGCGAAGUAGCUGAUUUCACACUGUCGAGAAAAGUCUCUAUCGAGGUUAAAGGUGCCUGUACCGCAAACCGACACAGGUGGGUGAGGAGAGUAUCCUAAGGCCAGCGAGAGAACUGUUGUUAAGGAACUCGGCAAAAUGACCCCGUAACUUCGGGAGAAGGGGUGCCUUCGAAAGAAGGCCGCAGAGAAUAGGCCCAAGCGACUGUUUACCAAAAACAUAGGUUUCUGCUAAGUCGCAAGACGAUGUAUAGGAGCUGACGCCUGCCCGGUGCUGGAAGGUUAAGGGGAUCUGUUAGAGCAAUCGAAGCAGUGAACUUAAGCCCCAGUAAACGGCGGCCGUAACUAUAACGGUCCUAAGGUAGCGAAAUUCCUUGUCGGGUAAGUUCCGACCCGCACGAAAGGCGUAACGAUUUGGGCACUGUCUCAACAACAGACUCGGUGAAAUUGUAAUACCGGUGAAGAUGCCGGUUACCUGCGACAGGACGGAAAGACCCCAUGGAGCUUUACUGUAGCUUGACAUUGAGUCUCGGUGCUACAUGUACAGGAUAGGUGGGAGACUAUGAAGCAUGGACGUCAGUCUGUGUGGAGUCAUCCUUGGGAUACCACCCUUGUAGUACUGGGAUUCUAACCAGAGGCCAUGAAUCUGGUCUUGGGACACUGUCAGGUGGACAGUUUGACUGGGGCGGUCGCCUCCCAAAAAGUAACGGAGGCGCUCAAAGGUUCUCUCAGUACGGUCGGAAAUCGUACGAAGAGUGUAAAGGCAAAAGAGAGCUUGAUUGCAAGACAUACAGGUCGAGCAAGGACGAAAGUCGGACUUAGUGAUCCGGUGGUUCCGCAUGGAAGGGCCAUCGCUCAACGGAUAAAAGCUACCCUGGGGAUAACAGGCUGAUCUCCCCCAAGAGUCCACAUCGACGGGGAGGUUUGGCACCUCGAUGUCGGCUCAUCACAUCCUGGGGCUGUAGUAGGUCCCAAGGGUUGGGCUGUUCGCCCAUUAAAGUGGUACGCGAGCUGGGUUCAGAACGUCGUGAGACAGUUCGGUCCCUAUCCGUCGCAGGCGUAGGAAAUUUGAGGAGACCUGUCCUUAGUACGAGAGGACCGGGAUGGACGUACCGCUGGUGUACCAGUUGUUCUGCCAAGGGCAUGGCUGGGUAGCUAAGUACGGAAAGGAUAAGCGCUGAAAGCAUCUAAGCGCGAAGCCCACUUCAAGAUAAGAUUUCCCACCGCAAGGUUAAGAUCCCAGGAAGACUACCUGGUUGAUAGGUCAGAGGUGUAAGUGCAGUAAUGUAUUUAGCUUACUGAUACUAAUAGAUCGAGGACUUGACCAA